CACUGGCGUUAAACUAAACAAAGUUAGGUGGAGGAGCACCGUCAAGGAGCCGGUAUCCCUGUGCAAGAGCAGACGUGGCUGUUGUCAAGGAGGUAAUAAGCUCUCUGGCAGGAUGAGAAGCAAUAUUUAUUUUAUCCACCUACAGGAUAAAAGAGUAUGUAUUUAAUGAAAUAAUUUAUGCUGAGCGAAUGCGAAUUAUGUUCUCUAACUGCAGGCAAUUAAUAUCUUCACUGAUAAGGAUAGGACCCCAGGCUGGCUUGCCUCAAACGGACCUUAAGCUCCAGCAGCUCAUACUUCUAUUAUGUACAUAAUCCCUGGAUUACAUAAACCCACCUGCACUUACACCCACCAGCUCCACCCUCCCUUGCCAAAGCUGUCACUAUGAGAAGAAUUAGAACCUUCGCAGAUACAUUCUGAUCCGAUGCCAGAGAAAAGGCAGCAGCUUGGAGCGUCAGGAACAACUUCGGGAAUCUGACCUUCAGGACAUUCCCCAGGCUGCCCUGACCCUCGUCUGGAUUUGCCCUGACUAAAAAUACUUUCCUUUAUUGCACUGAAAACAUUUUCACCUCAUUUGUUAUACUGCCUGAGAUCCCAUCGACUGGAGAUCUUCUUAAAGACUGACAAGCAUCUUCUUAAAAAUGUGAAUCACGGCCAGGUGCAGUGGUACACGCCUGUAAUCCCAGCACUUUGAGAGGCCGAGGUGGGCGGAUCCUUUGAACUCGGGAGUUCAAGACCAGCUAGAGCAACACAGUGAAACAUCCUAUCUUUAGAAAUAAAAAAUAAAUUUAAAAAAAAGUGAAUCAUGAAGGGCCCAUUAGACAUGUGCAACUAGGAAUGAAGUAUUCUAACCACCUCGUUUUGCCGCUCACAUAGGAGCUCAGCUAGGGAUUUCCUGGAGCAUAUCACAACAAUAAUGCCAUCACAGACGGACGAGGACAGAGGUCUAGAACGUCACUGUGUGUCUGCGUGUUCUACUCCCCAAGUAGGGAAUGCAUCCACAAUCUCAGGCUGCCCCGGAGUUUUUAUCCUUCCCUCCACGUUCUUUUUUUUUUUUUUUGAGAUGGAGUCUCACUCUGUAGCCCAGGCUUCUCUCCAUACUCUGAUUGUAAGCAUCACCUUUCCAACACAGAAAUGUCAGCCCUGCUGGGGCUCCGAUGUGUGACUGAGAUUCAGCUAAUUGCGUGUCCCCACAGGAUACUUGGACUCGGAACUCACUGAGGAGGAGGAGAACCCUAAAAGCUGCUUUGGGCUACUGAGGUGGCUCAGUCAGACCCACAGGUCCUGCCAGCGUGGGAGAUGGAAUUUUCACUGCAGUGUGAGAUACAGGUCUCACUGUGUUCUCCAGGCUGUUCUGGAACUCCUGGGCUCAAAUGAUCCUCCUGCCUCACCCUCCCAAAGUGUUGGGAUUACAGGCAUGAGCCACUGCACCUGGCUGCAGUCCUCUUAUGCCACAAAUUCCCAUGCUGCUUUUGUUACGGUGGAGAAGAGGUUGAGCUCUGGAGGCUGAAAUUUCAGUGACUCCUAAUAUCGUGCUAAGAGCAAUGGAGACGAUACGGCCCAAGGACCCAGCAACAGCGCCCCUACCUCAGGUUAAUCCUGCGGGGGGAGAUGUCCUGCCACGAUGCUUCUGCCCACCUCCGGUGCCUGUGCAGGUGUGACCAGCCUGCUGAUACCGCGUCCUGAGGUCAGCUUGAGGCGGCCAGGUGGAACGGCAGCUUCAGACUCAGGCUCCUAAUGGCAGCUUCUCUGAGCAACUCAGUGUCUUGCUAUGAACUCUUGGGAAUCCUGUGCUUCAGUCCCAAGAGCACCUGGUAAGUGUUGCCUUUACCCGGCACCCAUCGAGGCUUCCAUUCACCGAGAGAGGUGACAACAGACAGGUGAGGAGCGCUCACUAAUAAAGAUGCUCUGCACCAGGCGUGGUGGCUCACACCUAUAAUCCCAGCACUUUGGGAGGCUGAGGCGGGUGGCUCACAUAGGUCAGGAGUUCGAGACCAGCAUGGCCAAGAUGGAGAAAUCCCAUCUCUACUGAAAAUACAAAAA
rnacentral:lncRNA from 1 species